UGUAGGGAAUUUUCAUCAUCCAUGGCAGCUGUUGCAGAGAAUGCGCCACCAGCAGGUGUACAGAAAUUACACUUCAAACAGAGUAUCAUCUGCUGAUCUGGUUUUGAGUGUUGCAGGAUCAUCUGCUGAAGUUGCACUGGCUGGUUCUCACCCCAAAGGUUGGUGUAGGUGUCACUUCAGGGGGAGUUAACCAGAUAAGUUUAUAUUUUUCUUUUUGGUUGCAUUUGAGUGUCUAAUUACCUGCUUGCCUUUUUUCUUUUCUUCUUUCUUUCUUUCUUUUAAUUGUAAUUCUCUUUAAAUGUUUUAGAUCAAUAAGGGACAUCCCUGUAUUCAAGGAACGGUUUCAACAUG